rnacentral:tRNA from 1 species
AAGUAAGAAGCAAAAUUUGCAGUCAGUUUCGACCUGGCCUUAGAUAUAUCCACUUAUCCUUACUUU